AAUGGCAUGGACCCCACACACACAGAGGGUGCACCCCCUCACACACAGAGGGUGCACCCUCUGUGUGUGUGUGUGUGUGUAACUGUAACCGUUGUAACUGCCGUUGUAACGUUAACUCAUCUAGCGCGCUAGCUUGUAGCCUAUGUUUGUUGCGCUUGCUUGAAUAUGAAAGCAGAAAAAACUUACCAGGCAGCUGAAGAAUAUUUGCUAUCUCCUGCCAGCGUUUCUCCCGUUGAUAGCGGUCGUGGUAGGUGGAAGAAGAAACGUCAAAGAGGCACUCAUACUGUUGCCACAGCUCAACCAACCUGGCCUCCAUAUUUUCAGUCCACUGACGCGUCACCAUGGUGAUCUAUGUCUUCGCGCAGGCGCAGUGAUGGAUAAAUAGAGACGUUGGCGAAUUGCCUCGUGGCUCUGCUUCAACUGUGCGAAUCAUCCGACCGUCCGACCAUGGUUCUGGAACAGAUGAUCGGCCCUCGCCCCCCCCUUACACUGCAUGGCAAAAGAUGCGUCUCAAAAAUCGGGUCAAAUCCGGUCAAAAAUCGUACAGUGUAUGCUGGGCUUUAGUGAGCAACUCUGUAUGGUUCGAUCUUUCAUUAUUCCGUUUCAAAACAAAAUCAGAAAAAUAAGCAAAUGGGUCCGUUUUUCCAUCUUGAAACCAAAACGGAAAACCGGAAAUGAAAAAACAGUGUUUUUCUGUAGGAGAACAGAGUGGAGACUAGCAGAGUCACAAGCAGCUGCAGUUUUCACAGUGGGACUGUUGAGUCACAUUAUUAAGAUUUAACAUUUUUUCAGGCGAGAAAGCAACCAUGUAGAUUCCCCAUAUGUGGUUAGCUUAUCCAAAGAACGCCUGUUUGUAAAUCUGCUGCGACAUUUUCGGACAUGUGAAAAGCCGUGACUGACCGGUGUUUCAGGUUAACAGGUGACCGGUUCAUGGACGCGCGUUGUCAUGGCAACGGCAGAAACAACUGCGCUGGCUGUCCAACAUGGCAGAGUCUGAAGCAUAAAAAACAUCAUAAACUUACCCAACUCCAAAUAAACAUUCCAUAAACAUCAUUUCAUUUCCUAUAUUGUUUCCCCCGUCUUCUGUCUAUAUCUAAAAAUCCAAGUUAAUAACAAACUGACACCGUUGUGGCUUAGAUCAUUUAAUUAAUUACUGAGAAGUGAAUAUGUGCACGGAACAUUUCUAAUGCUAUUUAUUUAUUCUCAACACAACAUCAGUUGUUUUGAGCACACUGUUCAUUGAUCAUCAGUGUCAUAAAGCAACUGCAUUGGGAACACUUGACACUCCUUCCUAAAUAUAAUCUUGUGCCGCUUUGACUUUUAAUGAUAAAAUAGCAAAGACCGCUUUGAGUAGCUUGAUCUUCAUUUCUGAUCCAUCACCUGAUAAGCUCACCUUGACAAAGUGCCUCGAAUUAGACAAUAACGAGCCUCACUCUUAUGCUCUUUCUGGAUGUCACUUACAGGGAGUUUGAAAAAAAAUUCCCUCACCAAAGAGGAAAGAUGCGGAAAAAGCAGUGCCAAAAUGGCUGAUUGGUGCCAGGGACAGGGGAUGCAACCGUGCCAUGAGAGCACAUGGAGGAGAGCAAAACCGGGAAAACCAAAAGACACUUAAACUGCUGAGUGACUAAACUGCUAUCCCUACAGACACCUCAACUUCAUCUCCCUCCAGGGAAGCUGGAAGAUUUUUUUAGUGGGGGUCAUGCUGUCAACACCCCACUUCCCUUGUCCCUAUCUCCCUCCCAUAUUUGUCUGUUUAUAUUUGUUCAAUAUGUUUUAACUUUGUUCUUGAUGGUUUAUGUUCUGAAAAAAUGUAAUUAAAAUCACAAACUGCAA